CCACCAUACUGUUUUCCACAGUGGCUGUACCAGUUUACAUUCCCACUAACAGUGUACAAGAGUUCCCUUCUCUCCAUGUUCUCACCAACAUUUGUUAUUUAUGUUAUUUUUUUAUUUUUUUAUUUUUUGUCUUUGGAGCUGAACUGGCAGCAUAUGGAGGUUCCCAGGCUAUGGGUCGAAUCGGAGCUGUAGCUGCUGGCCUACACCACAGCCACAGCAACGCCAGAUCCAAGCUGCAUCUUUGACCUACACCACAGCUCACGGCAAUGCCACAUCCUUAACCCACUGAGCGAGGCCAGGGAUUGAACCUGCAACCUCAUGGUUCCUAAUCGUAUUUGUUUCCGCUGCACCACGAUGGACUCCUGAUAGUUUGUUAUUAAUGUAUAGAAGUGCAGCAGAUUUUUGUAGACUAAUUUUGUAUUGUGCAACUUUACUGAAUUCAUUGAUGAGCUCCAGUCGUGUUUUGGUGAAAUCUUUAGGAUUUCCUAUGUAUAAUAUUAUGUCAUCUGCCCAGAGGGUCUGUUUUACUUUUUCCUUUCCAAUUUGAAUUUGUUUUACUUCUUUUCCUUGUCUGAUUGCUGUGGCUAGGACUUCUAAUACUAUUUUAUUUUUUAUUUUUAUUUUUAUUUUUUGUCUUUUUGCCAUUUUCUUGGGCCACUCUCGCGGCACAUGGAGGUUCCCAGGUCAGGGGUCGAAUCGGAGCUGCAGCCACAGCCCACGCCAGAGCCACAGCAACGUGGGAUCCGAGCCGCGUCUGCAACCUACACCACAGCUCACGGCAACGCCGGAUCGUCAACCCACUGAGCAAGGCCAGGGAUCGAACCUGCAACCUCAUGGUUCCUAGUCGGGUUCACCAACCACUGCGCCAUGACGGGAACUCCCUAAUACUAUUUUAAAUAGGAGUGGACAUCCUUGUCUGGUUCCUGAUCUUAGAGGAAAUGCUUUCAGUUUUUCACCAUUGAGUAUGGUGCUAUUUGUGGGCUUAUCAUAUAUGGCAUUUGUUAUGUUGAGGUAUGUUCCCUCUGUACCCAUUUUUUUUUUUUUUUGGAGAAUUUGUCUUAUAAAUGGGUGUUGAACUUUGUCAAAAGCUUUUAUGCAUCUAUUGAAAUGAUCAUAUGGUUUUUAUUCACUUUGUGGAUGUGGUGUAUCCUAUGAUUGAUUUGCAGUCAUUGAACUGUCCUUACAUUCCUGAGGUAAAUCCCACUCGAUCAUGGUGUAUGAUCCUUUUAAUGUAUUGUUGGGUUCAAUUUGCUAAUACUUUGUUGAGGAUUUUGGCAUCUAUGUUCAUCAGUGGUAUUGGCCUAUUAAUUUUCUCUUUUUUGUGUGGUGUUUUUGUCUGGUUUUGGUAUUAGGGUGAUGCUGGCCUAACUGAAUGUGUUCAGAAGUGGCAGAAGUGUUCCUUCCUCUGCAGUUUUAUUGGAAUAAUUUGAGAAGGAUAAGUAUUAACUCAUCUCUAAAUGUUCAGCAUUAUUCACCUGUGAAGCAAUCUGGUCCUCAACUUUUUAUUUGUUGGGAAGUUUUUACCUUCUAUUUUUUUUGUCUUUUUGCCUUUUCUAGGGCCACUCCCGUGGCAUAUGGAGAUUCCCAGGCUGGGGGUCUAAUCAGAGCUGUAGCCACUGGCCUACGCCAUAGCCACAGCCACAGCAACGUGGGAUCUGAGCUGCGUCUGCAACCUACACCACAGCUCACAGCAACGCCAGAUCCUUAACCCACUGAGCGAGGCCAUGGAUCAAACCCGCAACCUCAUGGUUCCUAGUCUGAUCCAUUAAACACUGAGCCACGACCAGAACUCCUAGCUUCUGUUUUUUAAUUAUUACUUAUUCAUUACUGGUAAUAGGUCUUUUCAUAUUUUCUACUUCCUCCUGGUUCAGCCUUGGGAGAUUGUACAUUUCUAGGAAUUUGUCCAUCCUUUCUAGGUUGUCCAUUUUAUUGGCAUAUGGUUGUUCAUAGUAAUCUCUUAUGACCCUUUGUAUCAUGUGGUAUUGGUUGUAACUUCUCCUUUUUCAUUUCUGAUUUUAUUGAUUUGGGCCCUUUCUCCUUUUUUUCUUGAUGAGGCUCACCAAAGAUUUAUCAAUUUUGUUUAUCUUUUCAAAGACCCAGCUCUUUUCUCAUUUAUUUCGGCUCUGAUCUUUAUGAUUUCCUUCCGUCUAUUGAUUUUGGGUUUUGUCUUUUUCUAGUUCCCUGAGGUGUAAGGUUAGGUUGUUUAUUUGAAGUAAGCUUGUAUCACUACAGACUUUCCUCAUAGAACUUUUUUGUUAUUUUGGAUCAUUUUCAUUUUCGUUUGUUUCCAGGUUUUUGUGGGGUUUUUUCUUAUUUGAUUUUUUUCAGUGAUCCAUUGUAAUAUAGUUGCAUAUUGUUUGGCCUCCAUGUUUGUGGUUUUUGUAGUCCCUCUCCCACCCGCACCUGCAUCUGCAUGGAUGCUAGUCAGGUUCUUAACUAUUCUACUAAGUCACAACAGGAACUCCAGAAUUCUGCUUUUUAAAAAUUCAUCUGGUUCUGUGUUAUAUGGGGAUGAGCACUUUAAUAUUAAGACUUUUCAGAACAACAACAAAAAAAUCCAAUCUACUCAACAUUGUCUCUCUAUAUUCUAUCUCCUGUUUAGUUAUAUGUUGGAAUAUUUGGACAUAUCCCUGUAUCUUUUAGCUUUCCUUGAUACUUUCUCCAUCUGUACUUCUAGGCUGAGUAAUGGGAAGCAUGCCUUGCAAUCAUCCCGCUCACAGCUUUGCUCUUAAGCUGUUUGUUUUUUAAUUUAAUGGCUAUAUAUCUACUGUGUCCUUGGGAUAUCAGAUACACUUGCUUGUUAUACCUUUCUUAUAUGGAUUUUUUUCUUUUGAAAAUUUUCUUUGGGUUUUUCUUGAAAUAUUUUGGUGAUUCAUACUUGUAAUUUGUUUAGUUGCUCAUUUUUGUAUUUGAGAGCCUAUUUUUGUGGAUGUUGUUUUGUUUAUCGAAUCCAGUGAUGGGAGGGGCGGGCUGUGCUACCAGGUAAGGAUAUGUCAGUAUUUUUGAUUCUGGGUAUAGGCGUCUCUUCCCUGGUGGGGGCACUGCCCUGCUUCUCCAGCUCCAGUGGCUUCAUGCAAUGUUACAUUAUAGACUGUAUAUAGACACCCUAUCUGCCCCCAAGUCAGCCCAUGGGUGGGGGUUGGAACUUGCCUUGCUAUUCCGUCAGCUCCCUAAUGAGUCUCCCUGCCCAAAAAGAGUCCCUGACCCACCAGCAUCCAUGGGUAUCCUGCUCUGUGCAUCUAUUAAUCCUGGGUUCCAACACAUUCCUCCCUUUGCAGUAGUCUACCUGUUUUGUGUUGUGAUUUCCUCCCAUUUUAUUUGCCUAUAUCUUAGAUCCCAUCUGCUCUCUAUCUUUCUGGCAUUCCCCAAAAUUUCAAUUCCAUUGCUAGCCCUCUCAUUUCUUAGUGCCAAGGCAGAUUUUCAUAUUUUUCCUCUACUUUAGCCCCUUAUGGAAUUUAGGUUUGAAUGAGAUUGUAGAUGUUUCUGUUCCAUAUGCCAUCUUGAUUCAUUCUCACUAAUACCGUGUUAAAAUAACAACAAAAAUGUUUGUAGCCUUCUUCUUAUUUCAGUUAAUUUUCUUGAAGAGAACUAGUGUUGCAGUGGCUCCUGGGCUGGUCCUGUAGUUACAAAAUGUGCUGUACUACUAGCCAUAAACAGGAUUCUUUACAAGGAAUUAUUGAAAUAGCAGCUCUUUUCUCUGCUCCCUAGUAUGCAAAAUUUUGUAAUAAACUUACUGAUACUAAAGAGCAAAUCCUAGCAUUGAAUACUCUCAACGGUCACAAAACAAUAUUCAGUAAUAACCGAUUUUGUUGGCAUUAAAAGAUUAGGGACAAGAGAAUUAUUUUUAAAACUACUCAGUUGGGCAGCAUCGUGGCAGUGGAAGAUGUUCCUCCUGUUGUCCUCCCUUUAAAAUAAUGAAUUAGACAUCAAUCCACAAACGAAAGCACUGUUGUGGGAACAAGCACAAUAUGCCAAGGGACCCAUGAGGAGUCUCACCUACCUGUUAAUCCAGUCACAAGCUCUUGAACGAGCAAAACUGUUCCAAAUCCUCAUGUCCCAUUCCGAAAAAAAGUCUGGAGAGUGCCGACAGGUAAACAUGGGCAGGUAAACAUGGAUAGGAGAAAAUCUGCAGAAAUCCAGACUUCCCACUGGGAGAUACCAGCCCACU
rnacentral:lncRNA from 1 species